UACGGAGGGUGCGAGCGUUGUCCGGAAUCAUUGGGCGUAAAGGGCGCGUAGGUGGCACGACAAGCGUGCGGUGAAAGCUUGGGGCUCAACCCCGAGUCGGCCGUGCGAACUGUUGAGCUGGAGCACUGUAGAGGCAGGCGGAAUUCCGGGUGUAGCGGUGGAAUGCGUAGAGAUCCGGAAGAACACCGGUGGCGAAGGCGGCCUGCUGGGCAGUUGCUGACACUGAGGCGCGACAGCGUGGGGAGCAAACAGG
rnacentral:rRNA from 1 species